rnacentral:rRNA from 1 species
GAUGAACGCUGGCGGCGUGCCUAAUACAUGCAAGUCGAGCGAACGGACGAGAAGCUUGCUUCUCUGAUGUUAGCGGCGGACGGGUGAGUAACACGUGGAUAACCUACCUAUAAGACUGGGAUAACUUCGGGAAACCGUAGCUAAUACCGGAUAAUAUUUUGUACCGCAUGGUUCAAAAGUGAAAGACGGUCUUGCUGUCACUUAUAGAUGGAUCCGCGCUGCAUUAGCUAGUUGGUAAGGUAACGGCUUACCAAGGCAACGAUGCAUAGCCGACCUGAGAGGAUGAUCGGCCACACUGGAACUGAGACACGGUCCAGACUCCUACGGGAGGCAGCAGUAGGGAAUCUUGCGCAAUGGGCGAAAGCCUGACGGAGCAACGCCGCGUGAGUGAUGAAGGUCUUCGGAUCGUAAAACUCUGUUAUUAGGGAAGAACAGAUGUGUAAGUAACUGUGCACAUCUUGACGGUACCUAAUCAGAAAGCCACGGCUAACUACGUG